GAAAUUUGCGUAGGACUAUAAAUUAAGUACACAUCAGAGGUUUCGCACGCUCCCUCAAAAUUGAGUGCACUGCUCUGAUCUUAUCUCUGCUUUCACUCCGAUUCCAAUGGAUGCCCUUCAGGCCACCUACAGAGAGGAUGACGACGACGCAACCAACGCCUCCCCUUCUCCACCCUCACCCGCUCCCGCCCUCGAUGUAGGACCCACCACAACCCCCACCCAAUUGCCUGAAAACGGAAUCAAGGAGGAGCCUGACGCCGCUGCUGUAGAUCCCUCCGAAGACGUUUCGUCCGAAGAAGCUUCCGUCUACGGAACUCCGCCGCAAGCCCUAGACACCGAUCUCCCCGAUUCGCACAAUUCCCCAAAUCUCCCCGCCGAAUUGGAACUCCAGGGCAACGAAUUGGACGAGGACGACCCUGAGCCCUCUCCUAAAAAGCAGAAGCAUCUAUCCGACCUGCCGGAACCCCCCGCCGCCGCGAUUGAACUCGCGCAACCGCCCUCGACGGCCGACGCAGCCGCCCCUCCGGCGCAGGAUGGGAAGCCCCUCGCUCCCAAAUCGUCCGGCAAAAAAUCGAAGAAGAAGAGCAAGGACGUGUGGACCACCACCACUAGGAAAGGUAAGAAGAAGGCAAAGCAAGCCUCCAAUGGCAACCACAAUUCCAAAAAUCCUGUGAACGGGGCCGCCUUGGCUGAAGAUAGAGUGUUCAUAUCUCCAAUCCCUAGGUUUCCCGACAAAAACGACGAUGUCCCGGAGCUCGACAUCUGCCUCUCGAAGGUUUACAAGGCGGAGAAGGUUGAGCUGAGUGAGGAUAGAAUGAGUGCAAGCAGCACAAAGGGGUACAGGAUGGUUAGGGCAACGAGGGGGGUGACGGAAGGCGCGUGGUAUUUUGAGAUUAGAGUUGUGCAUUUGGGAGAGACAGGGCACACGAGGCUGGGGUGGUCGACCGAGAAAGGGGACCUGCAGGCUCCUGUUGGAUAUGAUGCUAAUAGCUUUGGUUAUAGGGAUAUUGAUGGAAGUAAGGUGCACAAGGCCUUGAGAGAUAAGUAUGCGGAUGAAGGUUAUAAGGAAGGUGAUGUUAUAGGUUUCUAUAUCAAUUUGCCUGAUGGAAUGUCGUAUGCGCCUGACCCUCCGCGUUUGGUUUGGCACAAGGGGCAGCGCUACAUUUGUGCCCCCAAUGCUAAGGAGGAUGCACUAAAAGUUGUGCCUGGGAGUGAGAUAUCGUAUUUCAAAAAUGGUAUAUGCCAAGGGGUUGCUUUCACGGAUCUCUAUGGUGGCCGUUACUAUCCCGCUGCUUCCAUGUACACCCUCCCUAACCAACCACCUUGUGCUGUUAAGUUCAAUUUUGGUCCUGACUUUGAAAAGUUUCCUGAAGACUUUGGUGACCGUCCUGGUCCGAGACCUAUGGUUGAAGUUCCAUAUCAAAGUUUUGAUGACAAAGUUGAGAAUGGUAGUCCACGGAAUAUUACUCGAAUGUCCCCUAUGUUCAAAGUGAUAAAAGAAGAAAAUAGUAAUAUUGACGAAGCUGCUGAAAUGUCUGGUUAAGCUUGAGCAUGCUCUCAGCUCAGUUUGAUUCAACUUGAAGUGAAGAGCUUCAAACACUGAUGCACCCGGUGUUUGCUUGGCCUACGCACAUACAUAGAGAAUAUCACGGGAAGAUCGGGAAGCAGCCGGAAAAAACCAGCUGUAGCCAUCAUGAUGCCCUAAAACAAGAAGUUCGAUUUGUGCGUUUUGGCAAAUGGUUCUAUGAACGAAGAGGAGAAUGAUAUAGUAUAUACUUACAAUGAAACCUGCACCGACAACAACGCCCAUCAAGAAAUUGGGGACGAGGGCAGCGACCACCAUCAUGCAGCUCUCAACGACAGAGAUGGAGAGAUGAAGGUCAAUGAAAGCGUACAUGAAGUGGGAGAAGCCAGGGUGGUACUUCACCAUCGAGUAUGUGAUAGACACCGAAGUCAGUGACAUCACAGCCAAGAAAGGAAACGAAGAGAUGAAGUUAGAUAGUAUGAACACUCCUACACCAUAAUGUCCGUUGAGCCUUUCUUUGCAAAAUACCUGUUUACAUAACAAAAUAGGGCGGGAUUUACCAACGACUUGAUAUGCAUCAUGGUUUACCAACGGAAUACUGACAGGAUGGGAAGCCACCAAUGGCCAUGAAUGUCAUAAAACCAGACACAAAUCCACCACAUGCCCCUCUAGCAAGAAUGGCAUGAUAACCGGAUCCAACGUCGUGGAAGACUGAGCCCACGCAAAGAGACACCACUAUAUAUAUCACAAUCCGCAGCCAGUAAUACCCAAAAUCUCUACACAUGUUUGU